GACGAACGCUGGCGGCGUGCUUAACACAUGCAAGUCGAACGGAAAGGCCCUGCUUUUGUGGGGUGCUAGAGUGGCGAACGGGUGAGUAACACGUGAGUAACCUGCCCUUGACUUUGGGAUAACUUCAGGAAACUGGGGCUAAUACCGGCUAGGAGCUCCUGCUGCAUGGUGGGGGUUGGAAAGUUUCGGCGGUUGGGGAUGGACUCGCGGCUUAUCAGCUUGUUGGUGGGGUAGUGGCUUACCAAGGCUUUGACGGGUAGCCGGCCUGGGAGGGUGACCGGCCACAUUGGGACUGAGGUACGGCCCAGACUCCUACGGUAGGCAGCAGUGGGGAAUAUUGCACAAUGGGCGGAAGCCUGAUGCAGCAACGCCGCGUUCGGGAUGACGGCCUUCGGGUUGUAAACCGCUUUCGCCUGUUACGAAGCGUGAGUGACGGUAAUGGGUAAAGAAGCACCGGCUAACUACGUG
rnacentral:rRNA from 1 species